rfam:Lactococcus lactis subsp. cremoris TIFN6 scaffold12.1_45, whole genome shotgun sequence.
GUAACUUUUAAACUAGUCCAGAGAGGCUAGCAAGGUUGAAAUCAGGAAAAACUAAUUUUAUUUUACUGACAGGAUUUUCUGUCAGUAAAAAUGAACUUGUUUUGAUACUUUUUACACUUGCUAAGUCUCUUGGUAAGUGUUUUUUAUU